rnacentral:rRNA from 1 species
GAUGAACGCUGGCGGCGUGCCUAAUACAUGCAAGUCGAACGAACAGACGAUGAGCUUGCUCCGCUCACGUUAGCCGCGGACGUGAGAAAAACACGUGUAAAACCUACCUAUAAUACUGGUAUCACUACGGGAAACCGGAUCUAAUAGCGUAUAAGAUAUUGCAGCGUAUUGUUGAAUGGUGAAAGUCGGUGUUGCGGUCAGUUAUAGCUGGAUCCGCGCCGCAUUAGCUAGUUGGUAAGGUAACGGCUUACGAAGGCAACGAUGCGUAACCGACCUGAGAGGGUGAUCGGCGACACUGGAACUGGGACGGCGACAAGAGUACUGCGAGACGCCGCAGUAGGCAAUCUUCCGCAAUGGGCGAAAGCCUGGCGGAGCAACGGCGCGUGAGAGACAGAGGUCUUCGGAGCGUAAUGCUCUGCUAUUAGGGAAGAACCAAUGUGUACGUAGCUGUGGAGGGCGUGACGGUAACUAAUCAGGAAGCCACGGCUAACUACGUG